rnacentral:rRNA from 1 species
CCUACGGGAGGCUGCAGUAGGGAAUUUUCGUCAAUGGGCGCAAGCCUGAACGAGCAAUGCCGCGUGAACGAGGAAGGUCUUCGGAUCGUAAAGUUCUGUUGAAGGGGAAAAAGAGCGGAGAGAGGAAAUGCUUUCUGCUUGAUAUUACCCUUCGAGGAAGUCACGGCUAACUACGUGCCAGCAGCCGCGGUAAUACGUAGGUGGCGAGCGUUAUCCGGAAUGAGUGGGCGUAAAGGGUGCGUAGGCGGCCUGCUAAGUCUGGAGUGAAAGGUAACGGAUCAACCGGUACAGGCUCUGGAAACUGGCGGGCUAGAGAGCAGGAGAGGGCGGUGGAACCCCAUGUGUAGCGGUAAAAUGCGUAGAUAUAUGGAAGAACACCAGUGGCGAAGGCGGCCGCCUGGCCUGUUAACUGACGCUGAGGCACGAAAGCGUGGGGAGCAAAUAGGAUUAGAUACCCGAGUAGUC